rnacentral:rRNA from 1 species
AUACGUAGGUGACAAGCGUUAUCCGGAUUUACUGGGCGUAAAGGGCGUGUAGGCGGUCUUGCAAGUCAGAAGUGAAAUUCCUGAGCUCAACUCGGGCGCUGCUUCUGAAACUGCAGGACUUGAGUGCUGGAGGGGAUAGCGGAAUUCCUCGUGGAGCGGUAAAAUGCGCAGAUAUUAGGAAGAACACCGGUGGCGAAGGCGGCUAUCUGGACAGUAACUGACGCUGAGGCGCGAAAGCGUGGGGAGCAAACAGGAUUAGAUCCCCUGGUAGUCCACGCCGUAAACGAUGAAUACUAGGUGUAGGGGGUAUCGACUCCCUCUGUGCCGCAGUUAACACAAUAAGUAUUCCGCCUGGGGAGUACGGCCGCAAGGUUGAAACUCAAAUGAAUUGACGGGG